UUUCCUACGGGUGGCAGCAGUGGGGAAUAUUGGACAAUGGGCGCAAGCCUGAUCCAGCCAUGCCGCGUGAGUGAUGAAGGCCCUAGGGUUGUAAAGCUCUUUCGCCAGGGACGAUAAUGACGGUACCUGGAUAAGAAGCCCCGGCUAACUUCGUGCCAGCAGCCGCGGUAACACGAAGGGGGCUAGCGUUGUUCGGAAUCACUGGGCGUAAAGCGCACGUAGGCGGAUCUUUAAGUCAGAGGUGAAAUCCCAAGGCUCAACCUUGGAACUGCCUUUGAUACUGGGGAUCUUGAGUCCGGGAGAGGUGAGUGGAACUGCGAGUGUAGAGGUGAAAUUCGUAGAUAUUCGCAAGAACACCAGUGGCGAAGGCGGCUCACUGGCCCGGAACUGACGCUGAGGUGCGAAAGCGUGGGGAGCAAACAGGAUUAGAUACCCGGGUAGUC
rnacentral:rRNA from 1 species